rnacentral:rRNA from 1 species
UAACACGUAAAGAACCUACCUUAUAGACAGGGACAACUAUUGGAAACGAUAGCUAAUACCUGAUAAGAAAGAAACUCGCAUGAGAGAAGUUCGAAAGUCGGAGCAAUCUGACACUAUAAGAUGGCUUUGCGGUGCAUUAGCUAGUUGGUAGGGUAAAAGCCUACCAAGGCGACGAUGCAUAGCCGACCUGAGAGGGUGAUCGGCCACAUUGGGACUGAGACACGGCCCAGACUCCUACGGGAGGCAGCAGUU